GACUUAUGAAUCGAAAUCAAGUAAAUAUUCAAAUUAUCUUCCUUCAUUAGUCAUUACUGCGACGGCGGCGACACUGGUGGAGGAAGAAUCCCUCAAUCGAGAAACUUUGAGUCCUUGGAUAUUACUGCGACGGCGGCGACACUGGUGGAGGAAGAAUCCCUCAAUCGAGAAACUUUGAGUCCUUGGAUUUCGCAAGUCAUUUCCAUCUCCCACCACAAUUUAUUCUUCUCGGGUAUUAGCCAUUAUGAUUGCAAUUGCACGCAGGAAUCUCUCUUGUUUAUUUUUUAGCCCUAAUUCAUUUCUCUGUAACCCCAAUGUUCUCUCAGUCCACUUUUUUUCGACUGCGAGUGUCAUAAGAUCAAUCCCUAGCCCUGAAAUUUACCAUGUGUUGUUCCAUAAACACAACCUUUCUCCUAAAUCGUCUUCACUAGCUGCAUCGUGUUUACCUAAAUUUCAAGGCCCCGAAAGAGCUGAUUCAAUGCUAUCAUUCCUCAAAGAGAAUAGCUUUACGAGUAAUCAGCUGGAGAAAAUCGUGAUGUAUAAACCUCAGAUUCUAGGGUUUCCUAUUGAGAGACUUAAAUCCAUAUUCAAGGUAUUCCAAGACUUGGGCCUUUCUUCCGAGGAGAUUGCCAAGAUGAUGUCCAGUGAUAAGAGAAUUUUACUUUCAAGUAAGGUGAAGGUGAACCAUAUAAUUUCCUCGUUAUCGAUUCUAAAGGUCUUGCUGGGAUCCAAUGAGGAGGUGGCCAGACUUUUGAAAAGAUGUUCAUGGUUUGUGCGGUCCGAUUUGGAGAAAAUCUUAAUGCCAAAUGUGGAAAUCUUGAAGAGCUGUGGUAUACCAAUGGAGCGUAUCCUUCACUUCCUCUAUACUCAGCCGAGAUGUUUCUUUUCCAAGCCGGAUAUUGUGAGGAAAUCUGUAGACAGGGCCAUCAAAUUUGGGGUCCCUCAGACUUCGAUUGUGUUCAUCCAAGCUAUUGGAGUUUUCUCAUGUAUGAGUGAAGGGCUGUGGGAAGUCAAGUUGAAAACUCUCCGUGAUUUGGGAUUUUCCGAUGACAAUAUAUUCACAAUGUUUAGGAAGACACCGUUAGUUUUUACAGCACCUGGAAAGAAAGUGAAGAAUGUGAUAGAGCUUCUGCUUGCUACCGGGAAGUACAAUAUAUCCAGUAUUGCCACUGCUCCAUCAGCACUUGGGUGCAGUAUUGAGAAGAGGCUCGAGCCGCGGCUGCAGAUUCUAAGACUUCUGGAAAGUAGGAAUCUGAUUGAAAAGUGGCCUGCUCUUUCAAGAGUUGCUACACUUACAGAUGAUGGAUUCUUUGACAGAUUUGUUAGGCCUUAUUAUGAUAAGAUUGGUGAAGAAAACAUCACAAAGAUAUGUGUCGGAUGGCAGAAAGAGAUGAAUCUAUAAGAAGUGGUAUGCUGGAGUUCUUCAGAAAAGUGGCCUAGUCUUUCAAGUGUUUCUAAAUCUACAGAUGAUCAUUUUUUUGACAGCUUUGUUAGGCCUUUCUAUGAGGAGAUUGGCCAAGAUUGUAUCGCAAAAAUAUAGUCAAGCGCAAAGGGGAGAUGAAGCUUUAACUGAAUGCUCAAGAAAGUUGCAUGAAGUUCUAAUGCUUAGAAGAACCAAUUUGCAAAAGCAUGGUGAGCCCGAGAUUGAGAAGCUAGCUAUUUUGUGUGGUCACGAUGAAAUCAAAGUGGAUACUGUUGAUAAUUAUAUCUGACACGACACAAUCAAUCCCGACGAAGAAGCGAUGCCUAUUAAGGUCUCAUUGAUUCGGAGAAUCCGCAAGCCGCAGAUCUUGAGUCGUCAAAUAGAGCCACUUUGAGGUUCCCUCUGAAAUGAGGCAUGGAAGGGAGCCACUACGAAGAAGUUCCGGGAGUUACGAAGGAGGGUUCGAGCUCAUAUUGGUCAUGUGUUGAGAACGGGAAUUGAACUCUAUGAGAUCUAAUCUCCCGUUGUUCCUCAGUAGCUCAGUGGUAGAGCGGUCGGCUGUUAACCGAUUGGUCGUAGGUUCGAAUCCUAUUGGGGAGAUUUGAUUCAUUCUGAAUUAACGAAUUCAGAAUAAAGGGGCUCUAUACAGCAAUAAAUUCUCUUGCGAAAUACAUUCUCAUCAAGCCCAAGUAAAUGCUGGAAGAACCCAUUCAUAUAGUUAAUAUGAAUGGAGGAUAAGGUUAAUUGAAAGACUACGAUUAUUUUACCCUCCUAGACGGUAAGAUUUAACUAGCUAUCGUUCUUAGGUUUUCUUAGGUUUAUUUUUCAAAUGUGCUUGCUCUCAUUAAUCGAUGAAAUUCGAAUGUUUAGUGAAUGCUUGCCAUAUGGAAUACUCCUAUAUUACAAUACAGUAGAGCAUAUAGUGCCAUUAAUAUGCCAUUGAUAUUA